UGAUAGCCCACAAAGUAGACAUGAGCCUAUAAAACCUAAUCCAAAGAAAAUCAGAAAAACAAAAUCCAAAAGAAAAAUGAAGCCCAUGAAAAAAAACACAAUAAAUAAAUAAAAAAUAAAAUGAAAUGCCCCAAGACACUUCUUCAAUUAGUAAAAUAGAUGGCACCCACUCCUUAGAAAAUAUCCAAACCCUCAAAACUUGUCGGUACCAGCUUCCAAAAACAAGCAGCCUUCCAAAAUCAAAACCAUUUGCUGCUCAUUCCUCUCUCCAAAGCCUACCUCUUCUUCUUCUGUCAAUCUGGUUCCCUUCUCCUCCCCCAUAAUCUAUCAUUGAUGACCAUCGGAACAUUUCCAAUUAGGUAACUCUCUCUUCCAUUCUUUAAGCAAUCCGCGGCUAAACUAUGUGCUAGGAUAUUAGCAGAUCUGGGUAUGUGUUUGAGCUGGAUACUAUUAAAACUCCUUUUCAAUUGUUGUAUGUCCCAAAUAAUAGCCCCUAUCACUGAUUUAUCUCGAAUGUCCGACUGACUUUUUUUAAUAAUGGUUUUUGCAUCUCCUUCUAUGGUAACUAAUGAGAGGCCUAGAUGGUUUCCCAAAACCAAGGCCUGAAAGUAAGCAUAUCCUUCCGCUAUAAAUGGCGAAGCGAUCUCCUUGUGCAGUGUCUGUUUUGAAGCCAAAAUCUCACUUGGAGAGUUACGAACAACCACUCCAGAUCUAGAUCUCACCAAAAUUUGAUUACAAGCGGCAUCAAAAUUAACUUUAACAUCAGAACCUAAUGGGGGACACCAUUCCUCAUUAACAAUAGAUCUGGACUAGAUUUCUAUUUGUCCAGAUUCCUCAUAUGGCACAAUAAAAUAAUUUGUACUGGUCAUUGGAACUCAUUCGAAAAACCCAGAACAUUAUCUGAAAACAUGAUGCAAGGGCUCUGCUGCUCCACCACACUUGUGACACAGGACAUCUCUUCUAAUCCUUCUGUGUUGGAGAUUAACAAAAGUAGGCAAGAAAUUCCAAGUGGUUUUCCAUAGAUUAAUUUUUACUUUUGAAGGGAUUUUUAGAGAUCAUAGUUUUUUGUAUAGCUCCCUAGAAUCAUAAUGUGUAUAAUUAGGGUUAAAAGUACCUUUAUGUAAUAGUUUAUAGGAACUUCUGACAGAAAAUUCCCUUGAAGAUUCCCCCUCCAGACCCGUAUGUCUUCAAUCCCUUCUUUGGCCAAAGGAGUUCGUAAGAUUUUCGACGCAAUCUCUUCAAGAAAGGUACUAUUAAUUAGAUUUACUUUCCAUUCCCUAUCAUCUACAUCAAUGAAGUUAGAAACUAAGUUUA